rfam:Roseivivax isoporae LMG 25204 contig33, whole genome shotgun sequence.
GGGGACCUUCGGGGCCCUACAUCCGAUGGCCGGAUCGCUCCGGCCGACACCAGGCGGACAGGCGGGCCCGAGGGCACGCAGGCCGCCAUCUGAAAACGGAAGACAGGAA